AUGCCCCCCUUGGUCCACACACUGUGUGGAGGCGGUAGGGGCCGAGGAAUACGGGUUAUUCCUGGACAACGUUUCUCAGCUGUCAGCUCGCCCUCUCUCCGACCGCUAUGCGUGUUGGCUAGAGUGGUGCGUUCUACCAUCGUGGUUGGACAACACGUUGAGAUGGGGUCAUCCCAUACAGUUCAAGCGCCGUCCCCCACCCUUUAUGGGGUUGGUGGAGACCAGGCUACGGGACCCAGCGGCAAGCACGGCUUCGGCAGCAGAGGUGGCCCGUCUCUUGGAGAAGGGAGCCAUCGUUGUCGUUCCCCCCCACGAGUCACAUCGGGGUUUUACUCCCGCUACUUCCUGGUUACCAAGAAGUCAGGUAAGAAGAGAGAUAUUUUGGAUCUUGGCGUGUCCAACAGAAUCGUUGCCGCGAGGAAAUUUAGAAUGCUCACUAUCAGAGCGCUGCUCCGAUGUGUGAGAGAGGGCGACUGGUUCACAUCCCUGGAUCUCAAGGAUGCUUACUUCCACGUCCCUGUUCGGCAGGCGCACAGGAAGUUUCUCCGUUUUGCCUUUAUGGGGGUGGCGUACGAGUACCAGUGCCUGCCAUUCGGCUACUCCCUGGCCCCGUGCACCUUCUCGAAGUGUGUGGAGACAGCGUUGGGACCGCUCAGGCGUCAGGGAAAGAGGGUUCUCUUCUACCUCGACGACCUACUUAUCCUGAGCGACUCAGAGGAAGCUGCGAGAAGGGACACCAUGACGGUGAUAAACCAUCUCUCUUUCCUGGGUUUUGCAAUCAACUGGGAGAAGAGCUUCAAGCUCUCCGGCCGGCAGAUAGUCUACUUGGGGCUUUGCCUAGACUCAGCCGCCAUGACAGCGAUGCUCUCGCCUCCUCGGCGAGACGCCAUCCUGUUGGCACUCUCCCGCUUUCGCGUUCUCAGAAACGUGACCGCGCUGUCCACCAUGCGCCUGUUAGGGCUUAUGGCAGCCUCCCACCCCUUGGUUACCCUGGGUCUGCUCUUUAUGAGCAGACUCCAGCGGUGGUUUGCUCGCCAACGGUUGGACCCCGUGCGACACAAGCUCAGGGUGCUCCUCCUACCCCGUUCGGUGUCACCAGACCUGGAAUAUCGCCCUUCUCAGGGGUGUUCCUCUGGGCAGAGUGACGACCUACGUAGUGGUCUUCACGGACGCCUCAUUGACGGGUUGGGGAGGAACGUGCCUUUCUGA
rnacentral:lncRNA from 1 species